rnacentral:lncRNA from 1 species
AAAAUUCAUAAUUUGAAAAAUCAUGUAAAAUGAUGUGUCGUAAUUUUGUAGAACAUCCAAAUGCAUCUCAGACUAAAAAUAUAUUAAGUGUUUAAAUCUAUAUGGAUAUAUAGUUUUAGUUCUCUAGGUGGGAUUAAAUCAAGUUUUCAUCAGCUUUUGAGCAAUAAUGCACUAGAAAAUGCAACUGUGUUUCCCUUAAGCACUUUUGUAAUUGAUGCUGGUGAAGUCCUCCACCUCACAGAAGAACAAGAACAACACAAACUCCUUCUACAGCCUGAUUCAUCUUCUGCUUUUGUUAAACUAGGCAUUAAUAAUUCACAACCAUGAUUUUGUUGGUAGGACAUAAAUAUAACACCGUUCACAUCCAUUGCCGCAAUAUUAAACCAAUGCCUCCUAGUCUACAAGGAUAAUUACCAAUUUGAGUUAGGGUGCAAUAUUACAAUGGUUAACUUUCACAGAAUUGUAAAUGAAAAAUAUCUUAUUCUUAGACUUUGUUUUCACAUGCCUC